UGACCUCUGUUAUUCAGAGGAGGAACUUCAUCCUUCAGAGAAGUUCCUGGUUUAUCAGUGAAGGAGGAAGAGAAGCAGAGUUAGAAGCGAUCAGCAGCUCAGGAUGAAGGUCUGUCACACUUUGAUCUGCUUGUUCAUCCUCACAGCUCUGCAGGAUGGAGAAGCUGCGAGAACGUACACAGGAAACGAAGGAGGAAGCAUCAGACCUCCACAGCAACACCACAGAAUCCGAGUUCCUCACCUUCUCCAUCCUCCUUGGAAAGCAGCAAAUACUCAGGUCUGCUGCUUUAUGUGGUUCUGUCUCUGGUCGCCAAGAUCAUUUUAUUAUCAACACCUUUGGUGAUUUUCUGCUGGAAGAGGAGACUCACUAAGAGCAAAGAUCCUGCUGUGGGGACAGAGUAUGC